GAUUCCGCGCUCUUGAGCUUCCGUCUCCCGAAAGUUGGUCAUCCCACACUAACUUCCCUCUCUCUCUCGAUUUCUCUACUUACACUAGCUUCCAUCUGCUAUCAUGCCAAUAUUUUCCAAAAUGGCGUUCGAUUCUUUAUCCGAUUCUUCUUAUUGUUGGUUUGUGAACCCAUCGAUUUCGAUUUUUACUUUUUUUUACUAAGGAUAUGAAGCAUGCAGUUUGUUGAGUAGUUUGAAAAUGGUGAGGUUUGAUGGAGAGGGCCGCAAAUCAAAGGAUUCAAAUUAAGGAGGUGGGCGUCUGGUAAGGGGUUGUUCGGGUUGCUGGUGAUCGGUUAAACUUGUUGGCCGCUCAAGACUUUCAAGAUGAUGACAUCAUCCAUCAUUAAGUUUGAUGAAGUUGAGAUAUAUCAGUGUGUGGAGAAGAAGGAACAGCAGCACAGGCAGCAUAAAACAAGGAGUAGCUUUCUUAUCGAUAAAAGGUCGCCAAUAAGAAUUAGCCUACGCUUCUCGUCUCAUGUACGCGUGGAAUGAUGGCCGCUGCCUGCCUUGUUCCAAAAAGCUCAGUAGACCAAUCUUCCCCCUCUCUCCUCACCGCCUCGCAGCUGGCCGCUGCCCAUUCUUCCACCCUCAGCUUCGGAAGGCAGUGGUGUGAGCUCCUUGUGGCGGCUACCACCAGCUGCUGACCCAGUGGUCUGGGGAUUCUGUAUGCGUUGGGCAGCUUCCCUACUACUGCUAUCCAUAACUUAAAUUGCAGCCCAGACUCGCGCCGUAUUGUAUAUUUUCAGGUACCGUCUCCUCUGCAAAGCAAGAUAGCCAAAGGGAAACUGACGCAAACACAAGAGGGACACUACUUGCUGCACCUUUCGCCAUUAUGGAUCUCAUUCUGCUAGAUUGACACCAGCAGCCUGCUGCAAAAGGAAUUAAGAUGAGGAAUUUUUGUUCUAGCCAUAAUCACCACUCUUGAAUAUGUGUGUUUGUAGGUCAUGCUCCCCCUUGUUCCUGCAGUUUUUUAUGUAGCAAAUCUAAAAUAUAGUUUCUGGAGACGCGAUGGAAAGAAAUAUCUCUUUGCUUAGAUAACCAAUUUAUACCCAAAAGAAAACGUGACCUUUUCAAAUUUAUGUCA